rnacentral:lncRNA from 1 species
CCAAAGUUACAAAAAUUAGAUCGAUUUUGCUUCCAUUUCAAAAGUCAAUACUAAAAUCAUACACUUGAUCAGUUAGCAAAAGAAAGUUCUAGACAUUCAAUGGUAAAAUUUUAUAAACAAAAUAAACAUUUUUUAUGCCCAACCAUUGAAGAUCAUUGUGUUCAAAUGAUUGAUCUUGUGAUCCAUUUCUUUCUCCCAACAUUCGAAGUAUCGUUUGUUCGAACUCAAUGCGCUUCUUCUCGCCUAUCAUCUUCCAUUUUUUUGAAGUAAUCCCUCAUUUUCCCUUGUAAGCUGAUAUAUCUUCUCACAAGCAAAAUGAAAUUCGUCUUGUAAAGUUAUGAAAUCAGCAUGUCCAUCAUAUGGAACAUUAGGUGAACCAGAGGAGGUGACAUCUUUGUGCAAAGAUUUUCGUUGAAUACCAAGCCCAUAUAAGCGACCACCUGUACAAGGACCUUGAGUUGCUUCACACCAUGCUUCAAUGUCAAUUUCAAGUUGUGACACAUUUGAACCAUAUUUUUCAUGAAUUGCAUUGUCAUAUUUUUCCUGUAACACAAGAAGCAGCUUAGCUUUAUGAAAGGGAAAAAGGCAUGAAUUACCGUUUAUUAGAAGUGAAACUAGUAACAUUGCUCAG